rnacentral:rRNA from 1 species
UACGUAGGUGGCGAGCGUUGUCCGGAAUUACUGGGUGUAAAGGGCGUGUAGGCGGGAAUGCAAGUUGGAUGUGAAAUUCCGGGGCUUAACCUCGGCGCUGCAUCCGAAACUGCAUUUCUUGAGUGCUGGAGAGGAAAGCGGAAUUCCUAGUGUAGCGGUGAAAUGCGUAGAUAUUAGGAGGAACACCAGUGGCGAAGGCGGCUUUCUGGACAGUAACUGACGCUGAGGCGCGAAAGCGUGGGGAGCAAACAGG